rnacentral:rRNA from 1 species
AUACGUAGGAGGCAAGCGUUAUCCGGAAUUAUUGGGCGUAAAGAGGGAGCAGGCGGCAGCAAGGGUCUGUGGUGAAAGCCUGAAGCUUAACUUCAGUAAGCCAUAGAAACCAGGCAGCUAGAGUGCAGGAGAGGAUCGUGGAAUUCCAUGUGUAGCGGUGAAAUGCGUAGAUAUAUGGAGGAACACCAGUGGCGAAGGGGACGUUCUGGCCUGCAACUGACGCUCAGUCCCGAAAGCGUGGGGAGCAAAUAGGAUUAGAUACCCUAGUAGUCCACGCCGUAAACGAUGAGUACUAAGUGUUGGAUGUCAAAGUUCAGUGCUGCAGUUAACGCAAUAAGUACUCCGCCUGAGGAGUACGUUCGCAAGAAUGAAACUCAAAUGAAUUGACGGGG